rnacentral:lncRNA from 1 species
GCAGCCUCCGCGGGAGCAUGCCGCCUCCCGCAGGGCCCGCCGCGAGCUUCCGGGGCCCAAGGAACCAGUCCGGAGGGGCGCAGGCGGUGGUCGCAGCGUCCCCCUAAAUGGCCGGCCACGAACCCGUCUCACGGUCCCGCGGCCAGGAGCCGCCGCUCAUCUGUCUCUGCAGCCACCGCUGAGGAAGAGUCUCCUCUGAGGGGAGAGUCGGUCAUGGCAGCAGACGCCGGGAUGGCUCCGCGACUGCUACACCAGGCACUCCUGGGCCCGGGCAGCAGACCAGUCAGCCCUGUGGCUCCUCGGCGACCUCCAGCGGGCGCCCGGGGCCGGGAUGCAGGGCGCGCGGACAGAAACGAGACAGACAGCUCAGGCCCAGCAGCACGCAAGCUCCCGCGCCUUCCGCGACUGCCACACGCGCGGCGCGCGCGCACCCUACUUUUUCUCCGCCACCUGGGCCGUGAUUGGGCGCGACCUGGGCUCCUGGGUGCUCAUUGGCGCCGUGAAGUGCUCGUCACCGCCCCCUCCUGCCCCUUCAUGCAUGCGCGGAGGCCGCCUGCUAGCAAGGUUCCCACGUAACAUCACAUCAGACCCAAGGGCCCGUUCAUUGCAAGGCGAAGGAGGCAUGACAAUGGCACGUGACCAUGGGAUCACUGGUCCUGUCACAUUCUGCACCACCCAGAAGAUACUGGCUUGAACGAAGAGAAGAAAUGGGCUGUUGAAGGCGUAGCUGAGAUGCCAGCUCAGAGACGAUGAUACCAAGUGCUGAACCUGAGAGCAGCCCCAGUACACUCCCUGCAUGGGAAUCUCCAUCUCAAAGUCAGCCUCCAGGGAGCCCGCCCUGAAACAGAUUCUGUCAUGGAACUCAACAGAGUAUCCUGGUGCGGAUAACCAGUGUUGGGAGUUAGAGCACGGACUCUCUCCACCUGCACGGUGCUGGAGCUCUGCACACCCCCUCUGCAGCCAUCCCUCGCCGCUGUCCCUUAGCUGACGCCCUUGCCCUCUGUGUGUCCUUCCUCAUGGCCUGCAGGUUUCAGAUCCCAAGCUACAGAUCAUGUCUUCUAGUCUGGGCUCUGGCAGAGAGUUCGGAAGCACUCUUAUUAUCUUAGCAGCAGCAUGUGUGGAAAUCAUUUCUCAUUACAGCGGAGGGCAGGCAUUGUGCAGAGGGUUAAGUGGGCCUGCUUGAAGUUGGUUGUUGUUAGCUCUCAUGUCUAUGCCUUGGUCCCUUUCCCCUCAGGACUUGGAGAGCAAGCUGUUUGAGUCUGAUGCAACCCCUGGGCUUUGACUAUCAUGCCAAAAGGCAGCAAAUAAGUGCCUUUUCUUCCCUUCAGAAUACAUGGACAAUCCAAAGCUCUAUUAGUCUAUUAUUCAGAAUGAAAAGUGUUUACAAUAUUCGUCCUCUUACUCCUCAGUAUGUGAGACUGUUCCUCGUAGCAGGUAAUUUCUUCCGAAUUCAAAAACUCCUCAUGGAAGCAUCUGUUUUUGUCAUCAAGGAGGGGGCUGUAUGUGGAAUUGCAAGGCCAAAGACAUCUCGGGUCAACUCUUCUCAGGACCAGAUCCAAGUCGCCAGUGAGAACACACAUUCAGGCAGCCUCCACCAGCGCCCUGCCUCAGGAGCGAGGCUCCCUGCUUCAUGUGGGCAAGAGCUGCCCUUGUUUUCCCAGCGGGCAGUUGGGGGUCUGGAGCCUAGGAAGCAAAGUGAAGCACACACUCCUGCUUCCUUCCUUCCCUGCAGUUGAGACGGGAGUCUUACUUUGUUGCCCAGGCUGGUCUCAAACUCCUGGCUUCAAGCAAUCCUUCCACUUUGGCCUUCCAAAGUGCUGGGAUUACAGGCAUGAGCCACCAUGCCCAGCCUCCUUCUCUUACUAGCUGAGAACUAAGAGAAGACACUCUGGAGACAGAGGAGGAAACAGUGACGAUGCCACAUGAUGAAUACAUAAUGGAGGGUGAAGACAAGGCUCCGUCAGGGGCACCAAGGAGGGAAACCCAGUUCUGUGGGGAAGGUAUGGGGCAGCUUCACAAGCCCAGUGUCUGCUCCCUUUGUGGGAGACGUGUUGUUUCAGCAUCCAUUCCCCCUUCUUUUAGGAAAAGUGCUUGAAUUUCCUUUUCAUGGAACCACCCACCUCCCUCUCAUCCAUGCAUUCUAUUCCCAGUAUCAGGGGUAGACAAGUGACUUCAGGCUUGGCCAAUUAGGGUUCUGACUCUUGGUCAAAUCAGAGUGAAUCCUGAGUCAUUUGUAAACUCCAAGGAAAGGGCUUGCUUUGUUUUCUGUUGAAUGCAGUGCUCUGAGAUAGCCGGAAAUGAAACUGCUCUCUUGCCACACUGAAGGCUAGAGAAGGGCCUGGCCAGGAAAUGAUGCCAGUGAUCAGGGGUGGAGCUGGAAGAGGGGGAGUGAGGAGGCCCAGACAUCUUGGGAGCCCCAAAUUCACCUCAGGAUUUAACUUCUCCGCUGCUCAGCCAAUAAAUUCCUUUCUUCCAUGACUAA